UUUAUGCCAAUUCUAGACAACUCCAGAUGUGUGUCUUUCCCACCAGUAUCUGCAGAGACUUGGCUCUGGAGACAGAAUUAUGCUUGCCAACAGGCAGUGUCCCUGUGCUUUCAGACCCAAGGGUCGAGUUCCUGCUGCCACGCUUUCAUCCCUGGCUGUGCUGCCAGAUGUGCUGCGGGAUGGAGGGCAGACGUGCUGGCCCUGAGUCUAAUCUGUCAUCAGCUGAGAGGCUGCUGGCUCCCGCAGUGCCUGUGAACCAAAGCUGCUCUGUUUGUUCCUCUCCCCUCGUCCUGAGCCAGGCAGUGCCAGAAGGAGGGAUUUCUUCUUAAGGAGCUGGGAAAAAUGAACCGACUAAUAGAAACAGUGAGACUGAGAAGGGCUACUGCAGGUUGAAAAGACAGAUGCAAUGGAGAAACUCCUUUCCACUCCUCAAUUCAAUAAGUCUUUGAUUCGCCAGCUUUGUUCACAUCCAGGGCAGUCAGAAGAAAACAGUCACCUUGUAUUUUUGUACCUGAUGAGAAAACC